rnacentral:lncRNA from 1 species
GGAAGUGAAGAAGGGAAUGAGGGACGGAAAGAGAGAGACAGCGAAGAGAGGAGAAAGAGUUUCAGAAUUUGGCAAAAGUCUCAAGGCUCAAGCUGGUUGUCUGAAGCCUUUCAAACCCCCAGUUUUAUCACCACAUAUGAGGGAAUAAGAAGAGGAUUCCUUCCUAAUUGCUAGCUUCUGUUAGCAGUAGCUGAUGCCAUGGCCCCUGCUGCCAGCUCUCAAUCUUCACCUGAGCCAGGUGGCACCCCUUUGAGAAAUAGGGUACUACCCCUUCACCUCCUUCACCUGCCAAUCUGGGCUUCCUCUGUGGAGGUCCCAACACCCACUGGUCUGUGUCCUCUUCUCAGAGGUCCCAGCACCAACCGCACCAGCCACAGGACUCCUCUUCUCGGUGGUACAACCAGCAGCUUCCAGGCCCAGCCACAUAUCCAGAGCUUGGGGAUCAGGUAUAGAGAGCCAAUCCCCUGGGAACCCAUGCAUUAGUCCCAGGGGGCCUCUCCUCCAAGCGCCUACAUUCUGGAAAAGCCUCAAGUUUCUACAGUCAUGAUACCUGGGAAACUCAGUGCUCCCUUUUGGAUUUUUCUUAGCCCUUCAACACCUAUGUAAAUCUGCAUGAAAUUUCCACUGUUUGAAUAGAGUGUCAUUCCCUGCUGAGCCCUAACUGAUACGCUGUGUUUCCAGUGUCCCUCAUCCACUAGACUCAGUGGUGUCAGGAAUGGUGUGGUAUUUUGUUAUAAAUUUAACUCCUUAGAUGGACACACAGAGAGCCUCGAUAAAUAUUUUUAAUCCAUCAAUGCAAGGAGUGUGGUUGUCAGAAGUCAGCUAAAAGUCCAAGUUUAAAUCUAAGCUCCGCCGUUCACAGCUUGGGUGACCUCAGCUUCUUUUUUGGAAAUGAAGUUCAUAUUUUCCGAGCACUUUUUCUGUGCCAGGUGCUUCCAAAUGUAUCUCGUUUAAUCCUCACAACAUACCUCAGAGGAAGACAUCAUUUUUACAAGUAAGGAAAUAGAGGCUCAGAGAGAUGAAGUGGUUGACCCGGGCUGUCUAUCUUGUAAAUGGUGGGCUGUGAUUCCCACACGACUGGAGUUUCUGGAGUCAGAGGCUGCCUGGAGUCAGGGGCUGCCUGACUCCAGAAACCAUUUUCUGUGCAUUUCAUGUAGCUCCACCUCAAUUGCCUUCCUUUCCUCAUCUGCAGACUGAUUAAAUAAAAUGUAUAAUUUGGAUGAAA